UUGACAGCCUUAGAGAGUGAAGUCCUCUAUUGAUCUAGGGGACACAUACAACAUAGACAACAAGCGUAUCAAACUUCCUCACUUUGCCCCACCAGUAUGCCUCACUCCUGCUGUGAGGGGCCGCCCUGGAGUGAGAGAGUAAUCACUCAGAUCUUGUGCCCAUUCCGUCCUGAACAUCU
ensembl:misc_RNA